rnacentral:rRNA from 1 species
GACGAACGCUGGCGGCGUGCUUAACACAUGCAAGUCGAACGGAAAGGCCCUGCUUUUGUGGGGUGCUCGAGUGGCGAACGGGUGAGUAACACGUGAGUAACCUGCCCUUGACUUUGGGAUAACUUCAGGAAACUGGGGCUCAUACCGGAUAGGAGCUCCUGCUGCAUGGGGGGGGUUGGAAAGUUUCGGCGGUUGGGGAUGGACUCGCGGCUUAUCAGCUUGUUGGUGGGGUAGUGGCUUACCAAGGCUUUGACGGGUAGCCGGCCUGGGAGGGUGACCGGCCACAUUGGGACUGAGGUACGGCCCAGACUCCUACGGGAGGCAGCAGUGGGGAAUAUUGCACAAUGGGCGGAAGCCUGAUGCAGCAACGCCGCGUGCGGGAUGACGGCCUUCGGGUUGUAAACCGCUUUCGCCUGUGACGAAGCGUGAGUGACGGUAAUGGGUAAAGAAGCACCGGCUAACUACGUG